GGGCCAUAGCCCAGUGGUAGAGCAUCUGCUUUGAGUGCAGAAGGUCCCAGGUUCGAUCCUUGGGAUCUCUA